rnacentral:rRNA from 1 species
GAACGCUGGCGGUAGGCUUAACACAUGCAAGUCGAGCGGUAACAGAGAUAGCUUGCUAUCUGCUGACGAGCGGCGGACGGGUGAGUAACGCGUAGGAAUCUACCGGAUAGUGGGGGACAACCAGUGGAAACGCUGGCUAAUACCGCAUACGCCCUACGGGGGAAAGCAGGGGAUCUUCGGACCUUGCGCUAUUCGAUGAGCCUGCGUGAGAUUAGCUUGUUGGUGAGGUAAAGGCUCACCAAGGCGACGAUCUCUAGCUGGUCUGAGAGGAUGAUCAGCCACACUGGGACUGAGACACGGCCCAGACUCCUACGGGAGGCAGCAGUGGGGAAUAUUGCACAAUGGGCGCAAGCCUGAUGCAGCCAUACCGCGUGUGUGAAGAAGGCCUUCGGGUUGUAAAGCACUUUCAGCAGUGAGGAAAGGUGUGUAGUUAAUACCUGCAUACUGUGACGUUAACUGCAGAAGAAGCACCGGCUAACUCCGUGCCAGCAGCCGCGGUAAU